rnacentral:rRNA from 1 species
GAAGACCUGUAUGAAUGGCACGACGAGGGCUUAGCUGUCUCCUUUUUCAAGUCAAUGAAAUUGAUCUUCCCGUGCAGAAGCGGGAAUUUUUACAUAAGACGAGAAGACCCUAUGGAGCUUUAGACACCAAGGCAGACCACGUCAAAACUCCCUAAUAAAGGACUGAACUAAGUGGACUCUGCCCUAAUGUCUUUGGUUGGGGCGACCACGGGGAAAUACAAAACCCCCGCGUGGACUGGGAGCACCACUUACUCCUACAACUAAGAGCCUCCGCUCUAAUAAGCAGAAUU